rnacentral:rRNA from 1 species
CCUACGGGUGGCAGCAGUGAGGAAUAUUGGUCAAUGGACGUAAGCCUGAACCAGCCAAGUCGCGUGAGGGAUGAAGGUUCUAUGGAUCGUAAACCUCUUUUAUAAGGGAAUAAAGUGUGACACGUGUCCUGUUUUGUAUGUACCUUAUGAAUAAGGAUCGGCUAACUCCGUGCCAGCAGCCGCGGUAAUACGGAGGAUCCGAGCGUUAUCCGGAUUUAUUGGGUUUAAAGGGUGCGUAGGCGGGCUUUUAAGUCAGUGGUGAAAGUCUGCGGCUCAACCAUAAAAUUGCAGUUGAUACUGGGAGGCUUGAGUAUGUUUGAGGUAGGCGGAAUUCGUGGUGUAGCGGUGAAAUGCUUAGAUAUCACGCAGAACCCCGAUUGCGAAGGCAGCUUGCCAAGCUAUGACUGACGCUGAUGCACGAAAGCGUGGGGAUCAAACAGGAUUAGAUACCCCGGUAGUC